AGAGUUUGACCCUGGCUCAGGAUGAACGCUAGCAGAGUGCUUAACACAUGCAAGUCGAACGAGAAUUUCACUUCGGUGAAAGGAAAGUGGCAAACGGGCGAGUAACGCGUAUCUAAUCUGCCUUGGAGCGAGGCAUAACUAUGGAGACAUAGCUAAUUCCUCAUACGACCUAUAGAAUGAAAAUAUAUAGGUGAAAGGUUUACCACUCUAAGAAGAGGAUGCGUCCUAUCAGGUAGUUGGUGUAGGUAAAUGCUCACCAAGCCUAUGACGGGUAGCCGGUCUGAGAGGAUGUCCGGCCGCAAUGGGACUGAGACACGGCCCAUACUCCUACGGGAGGCAGCAGUGGGGAAUCUUGCACAAUGGGCGAAAGCCUGAUGCAGCAACUCUGCGUGAAGGAUGAAGCAUUAUGGUGUGUAAACUUCUUUUCUGGGGGACGAAGAAUGACGGUACCUCAGGAAUAAGGGACGGCUAACUACGUGCCAGCAGCCGCGGUAAUACGUAGGUCUCGAGCGUUAUCCGGAGUUACUGGGCGUAAAGCGUCUGCAGCCGGAUGUAAAAGUCUAUUUUUAAAUAUUUCGACUUAAUCGAAAAGAGGGGAUAGAUACUAUACAUCUAGAGUAUUUUGGGGGAUAGUGGAAUUUCCAGUGUAGCGGUGGAAUGUGUUGAUAUUGGAAGGAAUGCCAAAAGCGAAAGCAGCUAUCUAUGAAAUUACUGACGGUCAGAGACGAAAGUUUGGGUAGCAAACGGGAUUAGAUACCCCGGUAGUCCAAACUGUAAACGAUGCUUGCUAGGUGUUUUUCUAUGUAUAUAGAGAAGUGUCGUAACCUAACGGGUUAAGCAAGUCGCCUGGGUAGUAUAUUCGCAAGAAUGAAACUCAAAGGGAUAGGCGGGGGAACACACAAGCAGUGGAUGAUCUAGAUUAAUUGGAUAAUAAGCCAACAAUCUUACCUAUACUUGACAUAUACUGUGUCAUUAGUGAAAGCUAGUUAUUUUGUAGCAAUACAAAAGCGGUAUACAGGUGGUGCACGGUCGUCGUCAGUUCGUGCCGCAAGGUGUUCGGUUAAUUCCGAUAACGAGCGCAACCCUCAUCUUAUGUUAUUUAUGUCAUGAGAGACUGCCUGGGUAACCAGGAGGAAGGAGAGGAUGAUGUCAGAUCAUCAUGCCCCUUAUGUUUAGGGCUUCAUAGAUCAUACAAUGGGUAGGACAGCGAGAAGCAAUACCGUGAGGUGGAGCAAAUCUUCAAACCUAUCCUUAGUUCGGAUUGUAGUCUGGAACUCGACUACAUGAAGUUGGAAUUGCUAGUAAUGGUGGGUCAGAAUACCACCGUGAAUAUGUCCCUGUUCCUUGCACUCACCGCCCGUCAAACCAUGGGAGUCGAAGUCCUUUGAAAGCUCACAAUGUGGGAAUAGAAGGGAAGCGAUGACUGGGGUUAAGUCGUAACAAGGUAUCCCUACGGGAACGUGGGGAUG
rnacentral:rRNA from 1 species